rnacentral:rRNA from 1 species
AGCAGCCGCGGUAAUUCCAGCUCCAAUAGCGUAUAUUAAAGUUGUUGCAGUUAAAAAGCUCGUAGUUGAAUUUCGGGAUUAGUACGCUGGUCGUGCCUUAGGUAUGCACUGGUGUUACUGGUUCCUACCUUCUGACGAACCGUCAUGUCAUUAAUUUGGUGUGGCGGGGAAUCAGGACUGUUACUUUGAAAAAUUAGAGUGUUUAAAGCAGGCUCGCGCUUGAAUACAUUAGCAUGGAAUAAUGAAAUAGGACGUUCGAUCCUAUUUUGUUGGUUUCUAGGAUUGACGUAAUGAUUAAUAGGGAUAGUUGGGGGCAUUAGUAUUCAAUUGUCAGAGGUGAAAUUCUUGGAUUUUAUUGAAGACUAACUACUGCGAAAAGCAUUUGCCAAGGAUGUUUUCAUUAAUCAAGAACGAAAGUUAGGGGAUCGAAGACGGUCAGAUACCGUCGUAGUCUUAACCAUAAACUAUGCCGACUAGGGAUCGGAUGAUGUAUUUUU